rnacentral:rRNA from 1 species
GACGAACGCUGGCGGCGUGCUUAACACAUGCAAGUCGAACGGAAAGGCCCUGCUUUUGUGGGGUGCUCGAGUGGCGAACGGGUGAGUAACACGUGAGUAACCUGCCCUUUACUUUUGGAUAACUUCAGGAAACUGGGGCUAAUACCGGAUAGGAGCUCCUGCUGCAUGGUGGGGGUUGUAAAGUUUCGGCGGUUGGGGAUGGACUCGCGGCUUAUCAGCUUGUUGGUGGGGUAGUGGCUUACCAAGGCUUUGACGGGUAGCCGGCCUGAGAGGGUGACCGGGCACAAUGGGACUGAGAGACGGCCCAGAAUCCUACGGGAGGCAGCAGGGGGGAAUAUUGCACAAUGGGCGGAAGCCUGAUGCAGCAACGCCGCGUGCGGGAUGACGGCCUUCGGGUUGUAAACCGAUUUCGCCGGUGACGAAGAGUGAGUGACGGUAAUGGGUAAAGAAGCACCGGCUAACUACGUG